AGUUUGAUCAUGGCUCAGGAUUGAACGCUGGCGGCAUGCCUUACACAUGCAAGUCGAACGGCAGCACGGGAGCUUGCUCCUGGUGGCGAGUGGCGAACGGGUGAGUAAUACAUCGGAACGUACCCUGAAGUGGGGGAUAACGUAGCGAAAGUUACGCUAAUACCGCAUAUUCUGUGAGCAGGAAAGAGGGGGAUCGCAAGACCUCUUGCUUUAGGAGCGGCCGAUGUCGGAUUAGCUAGUUGGUGAGGUAAAGGCUCACCAAGGCGACGAUCCGUAGCGGGUCUGAGAGGAUGAUCCGCCACACUGGGACUGAGGCACGGCCCAGACUCCUACGGGAGGCAGCAGUGGGGAAUUUUGGACAAUGGGCGCAAGCCUGAUCCAGCCAUGCCGCGUGAGUGAAGAAGGCCUUCGGGUUGUAAAGCUCUUUCGGUGGGGAAGAAAUUGCUUCGGUUAAUACCUGGAGUAGAUGACGGUACCCGCAUAAGAAGCACCGGCUAACUACGUG
rnacentral:rRNA from 1 species